AUUGAACGCUGGCGGCAGGCCUAACACAUGCAAGUCGAACGAGUGGCGGACUGGUGAGUAAUGUCUGGGAAACUGCCUGAUGGAGGGGGAUAACUACUGGAAACGUUAGCUAAUACCGCAUACCAUCAGAUGUGCCCAGAUGGGAUUAGCUUGUUGGUGGGGUAACGGCUCACCAAGGCGACGAUCCCUAGCUGGUCUGAUAGGAUGACCGGCCACACUGGAACUGGGACACGGGCCAGACUCCUACGGGAGGCAGCAGUGGGGAAUAUUGCACAAGGGGCGAAAGCCUGAUGCAGCCAUGCCGCGUGAAUGAAGAAGGCCUUCGGGUUGUAAAGUACUUUCAGCGGGGAGGCGUUAUCCGAAGAAGAAGCAACGGCUAACUCCGUGCCAGCAGCCGCGGUAAUAC
rnacentral:rRNA from 1 species